GUUUUAAUAGUUUAAAAAAAACGUCGGUCUUGUAAACCGAAAUUAAGAGCAGCCCCCACUUUUAAAACU
rnacentral:tRNA from 1 species